rnacentral:rRNA from 1 species
AUGAACGCUGGCGGCGUGCCUAAUACAUGCAAGUCGAGCGAACAGACGAGAGUGCUUGCACUCUCUGACGUUAGCGGCGGACGGGCGAGUAACACGUGGGUAACCUACCUAUAAGACUGGGAUAACUUCGGGAAACCGGAGCUAAUACCGGAUAAUAUUUAGCUUCGCAUGAAGCAAUAGUGAAAGACGGUUCUGCUGUCACUUAUAGAUGGACCCGCGGUGUAUUAGCUAGUUGGUGAGGUAACGGCUCACCAAGGCAACGAUACAUAGCCGACCUGAGAGGGUGAUCGGCCACACUGGGACUGAGACACGGCCCAGACUCCUACGGGAGGCAGCAGUAGGGAAUCUUCCGCAAUGGACGAAAGUCUGACGGAGCAAUGCCGCGUGAGUGAAGAAGGUUUUCGGAUCGUAAAACUCUGUUGUAAGGGAAGAACAAGUACGUUAGUAACUGAACGUACCUUGACAGUACCUUACCAGAAAGCCACGGCUAACUACGUG